AGAGUUUGAUCCUGGCUCAGGACGAACGCUGGCGGCGUGCUUAACACAUGCAAGUCGAACGAGAAUCUACUGAAAGAGUUUUCGGACAAUGGAAGUAGAGGAAAGUGGCGGACGGGUGAGUAACGCGUGAGGAACCUGCCUUUCAGAGGGGGACAACAGUUGGAAACGACUGCUAAUACCGCAUGAAGCAUAGGGGUCGCAUGAUUCUUAUGCCAAAGAUUUAUCGCUUCAAGAUGGCCUCGCGUCUGAUUAGCUGGUUGGCGGGGUAACGGCCCACCAAGGCGACGAUCAGUAGCCGGACUGAGAGGUUGAACGGCCACAUUGGGACUGAGAUACGGCCCAGACUCCUACGGGAGGCAGCAGUGGGGAAUAUUGCACAAUGGGGGAAACCCUGAUGCAGCGACGCCGCGUGGAGGAAGAAGGUCUUCGGAUUGUAAACUCCUGUUGUUGAGGAAGAUAAUGACGGUACUCAACAAGGAAGUGACGGCUAACUACGUGCCAGCAGCCGCGGUAAAACGUAGGUCACAAGCGUUGUCCGGAAUUACUGGGUGUAAAGGGAGCGCAGGCGGGAAGACAAGUUGGAAGUGAAAUCCAUGGGCUCAACCCAUGAACUGCUUUCAAAACUGUUUUUCUUGAGUAGUGCAGAGGUAGGUGGAAUUCCCGGUGUAGCGGUGGAAUGCGUAGAUAUCGGGAGGAACACCAGUGGCGAAGGCGGCCUACUGGGCACCAACUGACGCUGAGGCUCGAAAGUGUGGGUAGCAAACAGGAUUAGAUACCCUGGUAGUCCACACUGUAAACGAUGAUUACUAGGUGUUGGAGGAUUGACCCCUUCAGUGCCGCAGUUAACACAAUAAGUAAUCCACCUGGGGAGUACGACCGCAAGGUUGAAACUCAAAGGAAUUGACGGGGGCCCGCACAAGCAGUGGAGUAUGUGGUUUAAUUCGAAGCAACGCGAAGAACCUUACCAGGUCUUGACAUCCGAUGCAUAGCACAGAGAUGUGUGAAAUCCUUCGGGACAUCGAGACAGGUGGUGCAUGGUUGUCGUCAGCUCGUGUCGUGAGAUGUUGGGUUAAGUCCCGCAACGAGCGCAACCCCUAUUGUUAGUUGCUACGCAAGAGCACUCUAGCGAGACUGCCGUUGACAAAACGGAGGAAGGUGGGGACGACGUCAAAUCAUCAUGCCCCUUAUGUCCUGGGCUACACACGUAAUACAAUGGCGGUCAACAGAGGGAUGCAAAGCCGUAAGGCGGAGCGAACCCCUAAAAGCCGUC
rnacentral:rRNA from 1 species